UACAGAGGGUGCGAGCGUUAAUCGGAAUCACUGGGCGUAAAGCGUGCGUAGACGGUAGCGUAAGUCGGGUGUGAAAGCCCCGGGCUCAACCUGGGAAUUGCAUUCGAGACUGCUCUGCUAGGGUGCGGAAGAGGGAAGCGGAAUUUCCGGUGUAGCGGUGAAAUGCGUAGAUAUCGGAAGGAACACCAGUGGCGAAAGCGGCUUCCUGGUCCAGCACCGACGUUCAGGCACGAAAGCGUGGGGAGCAAACAGG
rnacentral:rRNA from 1 species